rnacentral:rRNA from 1 species
GACGAACGCUGGCGGCGUGCUUAACACAUGCAAGUCGAACGGAAAGGCCCUGCUUUUGUGGGGUGCUCGAGUGGCGAACGGGUGAGUAACACGUGAGUAACCUGCCCUUGACUUUGGGAUAACUUCAGGAAACUGGGGCUAAUCCCGGAUCGGAGACCCUCCUGCGGGGGGGGGGUGGGAAAGUUUCGGCGGUUGGGGAUGGACUCGCGGCUUAUCAGCUUGUUGGUGGGGUAGUGGCUUACCAAGGCUUUGACGGGUAGCCGGCCUGAGAGGGUGACCGGCCACAUUGGGACUGAGAUACGGCCCAGACUCCUACGGGAGGCAGCAGUGGGGAAUAUUGCACAAUGGGCGGAAGCCUGAUGCAGCAACGCCGCGUGCGGGAUGACGGCCUUCGGGUUGUAAACCGCUUUCGCCUGUGACGAAGCGUGAGUGACGGUAAUGGGUAAAGAAGCACCGGCUAACUACGUG